rnacentral:hammerhead_ribozyme from 1 species
AUCUAGAUGACGAGUCUCAAAUAAGACAAAACGCGCGUCCUGGAU